GGGGAAUUUUCCGCAAUGGGCGAAAGCCUGACGGAGCAAUACCGCGUGAGGGAGGAAGGCUCUUGGGUUGUAAACCUCUUUUCUCAGGGAAGAAUAAUGACGGUACCUGAGGAAUAAGCAUCGGCUAACUCCGUGCCAGCAGCCGCGGUAAUACGGAGGAUGCAAGCGUUAUCCGGAAUGAUUGGGCGUAAAGCGUCCGCAGGUGGUUUUGUGUGUCUGCUGUUAAAGCGUGCGGCUUAACCGCAUAAGGGCGGUAGAAACUACAAGACUAGAGUACGUUCGGGGCAGAGGGAAUUCCCAGUGUAGCGGUGAAAUGCGUAGAGAUUGGGAAGAACAUCGGUGGCGAAAGCGCUCUGCUAGGCCUGUACUGACACUGAGGGACGAAAGCUAGGGGAGCGAAUGGGAUUAGAUACCCCAG
rnacentral:rRNA from 1 species